CAUUCCUACAGAAGACUCAAGCACACAACAGUGGUAGAAUAAUCUUACCUGCCAUGCCUGGGCAGAUCUCUGCAGUAGCUGUACUCUUCCUGUCCCUGACUGGUAAGUGACACACCCCAUUUGCUGUGGUGGCCAUUCUUUAUCCAUUUCUCUUAAAUCUAAAUGCAUGUAGGUGUCCUGGACCAAAGGUGAAGCAGGGAGGGCUAUAGGGCUAUAGAUGCUGUUUCUGCUACUACAGGUAUUUAGUGUGAGAACAUUUAAAAUCUGUUAUCUUACAUAGGUGGGGCAGACCUAUUUUUUUCCAUGGGCCUUUAUGGUUUGAGUGGAAUUUCUGUGAGUUAGAAUAGGAAUCGAUACCAGAAGACAUUGCCUAUGACACCUAUAUUAGUACAGAUACCAUAUCAAUGUGAGUUUAUAAAAAUCACGUUGAUUUAAGAGAACUAGGCUAGAGCUUAGGAAUUGGAGCUGUAGCUGGUUUCAUACUCCGUCCUCUGUUUAUCUUAAAUAUGUUGUUUAUUUAUAUAAAUAGUGACAUGUGAAGAUAUAUCAAAAGUCAUCUGAUCAGUUCUACCACUUCACAAAGGUGUAAACUGAGGCAUCAAAAAUGUUAUUAAGAUAGUGCUAUUGCACAUCAAGUCAGAGAAGUAGCCUUGGGAGCCAAGCUUUAAAUGGCUAUUUAAGUACCUAAUCUCACUAGAGUAUUUUGUGCGAAAGAUAAUGAGUUCUAUCAGGUUCUUGUUCUGUUCUACUAGCAAGUGUAUCAAAAAAUUUCCAGUUCCUCCUACAACUACUGAAUUUAGCUUGUGAGAUCACUGACUUAGUCUACACUCCACUGCUUACAUGGAGUGGAGGACACUGUGGCCUCAGUUGUUACAUGAAUCUUAAGGAAGCUGUGCGGUCAUGAUAGCUGCCUUAAUCCAAGUAGUUUUUGUUUGUGCCAUGCUUUCAGAAUUAUAAUUUCAUGCUCUCCGAAGUACACACACACAAAAAAAAGACUUAAUUUGGCAAUGUAGUACAAUGGUCGUGUUAGCUUAGCUUUGGAUCCACUAACUAACACUGUGGGAAUAACUUCCCACAACUUAAUGUUUUAAGCUAGAAGAAAAAGUAAAAAUUGCUGCCUAUGCACAGACUCUCAUCCCUCUAGAAGUAAAAGUAGGAUUAAAGGCUCCUUACUACAAAAAACACAGGCUUAGCUUAUUAAACUUUCAUUGCUAAGGAAGAAGAGGCAGGACUUUGAAUAUUUACGUGUGUGUGUGUUUAAUACAUUAGUAAGCAUUUUGUCUUUGUUAUUAUAAUUUCAUGUUCUUUCCUAAGUGAUACACUAAACACACACAAUUGUUUAUUGGCUAGUACUUACAUAUGAGAAAUGAACAUUUUCUUCUUCUGAGAUUAGGUGGCAUCACUUUUUCUUCUUUUUUAUUAUAUUUUCAUUAUUUAAAAGAAGUUUUAAACUUAAACGUAUUUUAAUUAUAUUCCUCCCACCUCUCAAGACAUUCCAGAUCCUUUCCCCCUCCCUACCCAAACAAUUUUAAGUCCUUUCU
rnacentral:lncRNA from 1 species